rnacentral:lncRNA from 1 species
CCAGUGAGUAAACAAACAUAAUCCAAAAUAUCUAAAGUUGAGUAAAUGGAGACGAUUAAAAUAUUCCAUCUCAAUAUGUAUUUCAUAACAUAAAUAUUCAUUUCAUUUAAAUAAUCAACAUGGCUUAUGAGUAUCUUAAAAGCUUGGCUCCUGCCAAAAUCAUUCUUGGGAAUACCUUGGCCGAGGCAUCUAACCGAGUUCGCCAAGGCUGCUAAAAAUUUCGUAUACACGUAAACAUAUUUUUAGUUUGAAAAACACAGUUGUUCCUUGGCAUUAGCGGAGUUCAUCAUCACGAGGUGGUUCGGCAUGACGUGAACUCUAACCAUACCUCAAGAGAUACCCUACGCGCCUCUCUGACCGAGGUAUGUAUAUAACCAGAUUUUGUGCCCCUCUAAUAGGCUGGUCCACAGAACCCGCCCACUGCAGCAAGCUAAACCCACCAUAUGAAAAAAUUUGCAAUAGCAUGACAUGGCAAUUAUUUUAUUUUACAGCCUCUCAAGGCAAAUCAAUAGUUCAUACAUUUUCAGCACAUUUACCAAUUCAGCCAUUCAUGCCAAUAUUGCCAUAAGCCAAUCAAUUAGAAUCAUAAAUUCACAAUACAUCAAAUGGUCUUUAAUUACUCUAUUUUCAAAGCCAUCAUUCAAUUGCAACACAGUUUAUAAAAUCAUUUCAUUUAAACACAUUUUGUUUAUAAAACCUAAAAAUUAACCAUUUAAAGUCAUUUUCCAUAAAAUGCACAAAAUUGAAUAAAAAGACCACUUUAGAUAAUUAAAAUGAUGAUAAGGUUACUCACUAUUUCGAGAGUCGAAUUUUUAGAGUACUCUGACUAUCGAUCCUCGGGUACAAUUUCUUUGCCUUUAACGGAGGAUUCACCACCUAGACAUAAUGCAUAAUCAAGCAAUUAACCACAUUGGUGCUAAACCGUUAUAAAACUAUAUGGAUGCAUGAAAUGGAAUGCAAAUUGUUCGGAUUAUCGUCUAAACAUGGUGUUCUACACAAAUUCAAUUGUGUACCUAAACAAAACGGUAUUGGCCUAAUUCGAUCUAUCACUCGAUUAAUUGGCCAAUAUGUCCAAUUCAACUCCAAUUAACUCCAUUUUCUUCCAAUUCUCCAAACCAUCAAACACAAAUCAAAUAGCAUAAAAUUUAGCAAAAUCAUCUUCACAUUUUCUCUUGGGAAUUUCGGUCAUGGUGGGUGCAUCAACACUAUGAUUUUUCCCACUUGAUUUUCUCACUGUAAUUCAUCAUUUCCUAACCAAUUCACUUGAAAUGAAAUCAAAUCCACUAUCCACACUUUACAUGGAAAAUUCGGCCAAUGAUGGGUGAUGGGAGCAAGUGAAUUUUUUUUGCUGGUUUUUCAUGCUACACAUCACUAACUAGCUAAAACACUAAAAUUACAUUGAAAUCCAACCAAAUCAAGCAUCAAAACCUCCCUCUAAGUGUUUGGCUAGCAAGGGAUUCAUAAUGAUUUCAUAUGAUUCAACCAUGAAAAAUAAGAAAAAAUGCUUAAGAAAGAGAGAUCUCAAGCUUAAAUUGUAAAAUCUUACUUUGUUUCACUUGUUUACUUGAAUUUUCACACUUUUCCCUUAAAUUUUUCCACCUAGGGUUUUGUUCUUCCUUUUUCUUGCUUCUCC